rnacentral:sRNA from 1 species
AGCUGCUUGAGACGGGCCGGCUGGCGAGAUACUUCGGACGGGUGAGCUGACGAGCUGCUUGAGACGGGCG